AGGGAUGCGCUUCCGGGUCACGCUAACGCCGCGGUUUCCUCCACUCGCUUGGUUCUACUGUGGGUCUGGACCGGUCCCCAUGUCCUGCAGCGGAGCCCCUGCAGCCUUUGGCUCCACAGUAGCCUUGAAAACCAACUGCCCCAAUCAUGGUGAAAACUAGCAGCCUCCAGAAGCCACUGGAAGGGGCAGAACAAGAUUGGAACUCCUUCAAAGCCCCAUUCCCAGGGAAUUGUCAUUACUUGACCUGUUUGGUGGUUCCUUGAAAGACAUUCACAAGACUGUCUGUAUUUGACCUGAUGUGGAGCUCAUCCUGUACAAAUAGCCUUUUGCCCAUCAGGGUAUUCAUUGGAAACAGAGGCAGUUGUUGAACAUCUUGGCUGCCUGUGAUAGUGAAUAACAGUUGGGACAAACAACAGGCUAACCAAAAAGCUUAAAAGGAAAAGCUGAGCAAUGAGAUAGCCAUUAGGGGAUUUGAGAAGCUCUGAUAUAUUUCUGGGAAAUCUGAAAGGUUGUGUAUAUGCGUGGGGCUGUGUGCAUGUUUAUUUAGGAAAGACCUGAGAAGGCCUAAGUUGUCAGUUUUUUAAAUCUGGUUCAUCUUUAAGUUCUGUGCAAGCAGGUAGUGAAGACUAAGGCAGAUUUGUAAAUUGACUGGCUGAGUGUUAAAUAUGUGCCCUGAUAUACAUACAGAGCCCAGCAGUCUAGACUGGAAGAUUUUCUAAGGAAAUCUGUCUAAUCAGUAGCUCAUCAUUAAUACUAAUAGCAGAGACUUCAGUGGCCACAUGUGACAAAGAAUCCAGACUGCAGAAUUAGAUUCUUUAUUUCCCUAUCCUAUUUCAUUUUUCUUACCACUGCUUAAAUAAUAAGUUACUGGUUAUCUGUCUCUUCCCUCUGAUUAGAAUAUCCACGCAGUGAGAGCAGGGACUUUGUCUUUUUGCACAGGGCUUUAUCUCCAGUGCUUAGAACAAUGCCUAGUACAUAAAAUAUUUUUUGAAAUAAUGAAUAAAUGAAUGACUCAGAUAUCCUCUAUUCACUUUCUGUCUUCUAAAAAUCUGUUGUCUUUUGCCCCCUGAAAACACUGUUUUUAUUUUUGUUGUAAUUGUGUAUUUUAUCUAUUCUAUUCCUUUACUAUUAAUUUUAUAGAGUGGAUUUCUGUGCAUUGUCAGCUCUCUUGAACCCAAUGUUCUGAUUCCUGAUUUUGAUCAAUGGGAAGGUGGUUGAGAGUAAACUGAUUGGGAUGAAGUUUGGGAAGUUAUGUGGUAGAAUUCAGCAUUCAAAAGAAGAGAAUGAAAUAACCAUACCCUAUACAAAUAAUUUUGACAAUCUGGAUGAAGUGGCUAUUUUAUUUUAUUUAUUUGUUUUUAUUUUGUUUUAUUUUUUAGAUUUUCAGGUUCUAUUCAUUACUAUCUCUUAUUCCCAUGACACUAUUUUAUUAAAGUUAAGCCACACAUUUAAAAAAUACUUAGGCCCAGUCAUAAGAUGGAGAAAUUAUUUGCUAAAAUUUUAUUUGGGGAGGUGUGGUGAAUAAUUCUUCGAAGUUUUAAAAUAUGCAUUGGUUGAUCUAAUGAGUUGGUGUUUAUUUCUACAGGCACAUGUGGUCAUACUAAAAAUGUGAUUUGUAAUUGCAAUGACUUGGUUAUCCCCUUUAAUAAUGGUUAUUUUCUCAAGCAUGAAGUGGCUAUUUUAGAAAAACAUUAACAGAUUUGAUGCCAGAAGAAAGAAAUUUAAUAGACUGAUAACAUUGAAGAAAUUAAAGUUGUCUUAAGGUCUGCUCCACAAAAACCUUGAGACCCAGAUAUUUUCAUAGGAUCCAACUCAGGAUACCACAUUGCACUCUAUAGAUAUAAAAAAUGACUUUGUGAAAGAAAGAAAAAAUAAAUACUUCACUCAAAAUAGAAAAUAUGAAUUUCAGUCUUGAGGCAUAGUUUGCCUAAGAUUAUUAGUUAAGAUCAACUGGAAAAGAGGACUUGUGUAUCUUUCAGGUUUAACUCCAUUAAGCAGUCUUCUUUUUUUUCCCCCCUAAGCAAAACAACAAAUAGUAUAGUAGUUGUAUUCUGAUUUUAAGUGCUAUUUUAUAAAUAGUAGUACAGAUGCUCCUCAACUUGUGAUGCAGCCACAACAAACCCAUCAUAAGUUGAAACCCAUCAUAAGUUGAAAAUAUCAUAAAUAUUUUUCUAGUAAUAUAAAUAAAAAAUGUACUUAAUAUACCUAACCUAUAACAUCAUAGUUAAGUCUUGCCUACCUUAAACGUGUUGAGAACACAAUAUCUCAAAAACACUGGCAACACACUAUACUGUAGAGUAUUGGUUCUUUACCCUCGUGAUUGUGUGCCUGACUGGGAGCUACUGCUACCCAGCAUCAUAAGAGAGUUUUGUACCACAUGUUACUAGCCUGGAAGAAGAUCAGAAUUCAAAGUACGGUUUCUACUGAAUGUGUAUUGCUUUUGCACCAUCAUAAAGUUAAAAAAGCGUAAGUCAAACAGUCAUAAGUCAGGGACUGUACUUGAGUUUGUUCUCAAGGCAUUAUUAGAUCAGUAAGGCUUCUCACGAUCCAUGAAAUACCUGGGACUGCCAGUGUUAUUACUGUUUGCUGGGAAUUUCUUCCACUAUACAUUUAGGGUUCGGCUCAGAGCAAAAGCAUGAGAAUGCUAACCUUGUAGUUAUGUGACAGUUCUGUUAGGCAAACUGUCCAAUUAUUUGGAAAGUUUUUGAGUAUUUUAUUUUUACCCUAUCAAUGUGUGGAAGCAUUUUUGCAGCUGUAUGUAUAACCAUGUUUUGUCUUAUGUAUUUUUCUUCAUUUCUCACCUUUGUUUUCAGCUUGUGUAUUUCUUCAGUGGCCAGAUGGCCAACAAACCAAAGCAGAGAGGUAAUAGCAAAACAAAUGAAAAACUCAAUAAACCUCUCUACUAUUUGUAUUAAUUUUCUGUGACUGCCAUAAUAAAUUACCACAAAUUUGGAGAUUUGAAACAUCAGAAAUUUAUUAUUCUCUUGCAAUUCUGGAGGCCAGAAGUCUGAAAUCAAGGUGUUGGCAAAGCUGCACUUUUUUCAUAGCCUCUAAGGGGAGAAUCUAUUCCUUGCUUCUUCCAGUUUCUGGUGACUGCUGGAAGUCUGGCCAUAUCCUCCAACCUCUGCCUCCACCUUUGUAUCACCUUCUCUCUGUAUGUGUUAGCUAAUUUCCCCUCCACCUUACUUUUAUAAGGACAUGAGGUGGCACUUAUGACCUACCUAGGUAAUCAAGGAUAAUCUCAUCUCAAAAUCCUUAAUUUAAUCCUGCAAAGACUCUUUUCUAAAUAAAGUAACAAUCACCAGUUCUGGGAAUUAGGAUGAAAAUCCUUCCUUCCUUCCUUCCUUCCUUCCUUCCUUCCUUCCUUCCUUCCUUCCUCCCUUCCUCCCUUCCUCCCUUCCUUCCCUUCCUUCCCUUCCUUCCCUUUAUUUUUAAUUUAAAACUUUACCCUACCAAAAUAGUUAUGGCAAUGUAAAGUACAGCAUAAAAAACAUGUAGUCAAUAAUAUUGUAAUAACUAUGUAUGGUGCCAGUUGAAUACUGGAAAUAUCAGAGGGAACAGUUUGUAAAGUAUAUGAUUGUCUAACCACUAUGCUGCACAUCUAAAACUAAUACAAAAUAAUAUUGAAUGUAAAUUGUAACUGAAAAAUUUUAAAAAUAAACAAAAACCUUUAACCUACUAAUAAGUGAGGGAAAAUAAAGGCUUCUAACCUCGAA